GCCGGCUCUGAGCGGGGGCUGUGUGGGCAUGGUCCGCACGGGAAGCGCUGCUCUGGGUUUCCCCGGAGCCCCAGGCUGUGCAGUGCUUGCUUCCCAGAAGUUUUGGAGUCCCUUGCCUCCAGGACAGGAGAUUGGGGGUCACGCCAGCGCGCCUGUUCGUGGGAAGAGGCGAGCUCUGAGUCAGCUGCGUGGGGGAAAUCCAGCGCUGCUCGGACGCGUCUGGUGUCAUCUUCCUAAAUGCACCUCUGACUCCCUGCAGAGCUCCUGCCCGGGGGCUCAGGAGGUGGUGGUGGGAUCCUGAACUCCUCUCACUUUUCCUACAGCUGAUAUGAAUCUAACAGCUUCUCUGUCGGUGAUGCUCAGACUUCCACCAUUGCGUUUUUGCCAGGUUUUGAAGGAAAGAACAACAGCAAGAAGUAAAAUGGAACCCUUCACCCUCUGGUUUGCAAUGGACAUUAAAGCUUAUUUGCUGAAAAGAGUAUUUUGGGGUGUGGGGGGGGGGGGGGUGGUAAUGGUAAAAGGAGUUCUCCUAAUGUGUGUGGCCAUUCAAACCACGGUAGCGCGACUUCCUGUAAGCACUGACUGCUCAAGUAUGGAAAGAAUGGAGAAGGAAAAAUGACAACACAUUUUUUCCCUCAUCUUGUGAAACAAUUUCACGGAAGGCAGGAUUUGGGUAGAGAGCCAAGAGCCGUUUUGGGCACUUUGGGGUAGAAGUGGGUUUUGUAACAGGUGUGGAGCUUGGAGGAGAGCUUUUGUAAAGGUCGCUGUUACUUGACUGUUGCUUUGCAUGAAGUCACAUUGUGUAGUUACUAGAAGGUGCUCAUGUAGAGUGAUUAGAGAAAUACAAAGCCUGUGUAGGACUGUGGCUGCUGAACACAAGUUUGGCUGUAAAAAACACUUCUAAAAUUAUUGGUUAGCAUUUAGUUGCUGCAAAUUAAUCUUUAGACAAAUCCUCUUUCAGAGGGCAGGGGGACAAACCAGAAAGGUAUUUGCUUGACCCUCCUGUAUUCAGCACUGACUUGCUUUGAGGAUGCUGCAUGCAGUAUGUAAACUUCAGGAUCUGAGUAAGUUGAUCAGAAGGAAAGCCUUAUAGGCAAAUGUCAGAUUUGGUGUCAGCUCCAGUGUGUUACUAAGCUCUGAGGUAGGAAAUGGGACAGAGUUCUGCCCUCAUGUACUACUUACAAAACCCUGAAGAAGUUAGCUGGAGCUUUACAAGGCAGGGUGUGGGAUCUGGGUUUUAGUAGGCUUUAGUAGGUGUGUUUUAAGCACAGUUCACUUCUUGCUUAUUAGAAAUUGAACACAGUAUCAUGUAAGAAAUCUCAGUGCUAAGAUCUUAACUCAGUAUUUGUCAGUGUAAUGCAUCAUUAGCAUCAUUAAACCAGGUACAUGUAGUUUUAAUUUGUUCUGUAGAUAAAUGAUUAAAGUAGGGCAGUGGUAUUUGACCUCAGCCUCUAUAGCAGUUAAGAUAGCAGGAAUCCUGGUCAUUUGGUAAUACCAGGAUAGUGUUUCGAAUUAUUUUCCCCCACAACUGGGUUUUGGCUAGUGUUACAUACCUCAAGUAUUUAUCAAAAUAAUAGUUAAUUAGUACUUGAAGUUUAAAGACACCUGAUCUGUGUUUCAGAUUACUGCUGUGCCUGUUCCCUGGAACAUCAGCAUUUGACUCCCUACCCUGAAGUUUUGUAUCACAUCAGUUACUCUAAAAAUUGAGGGAGCAUCACAGCAUUCUAACGUGGAUACCUGACAAGUGUCCUUAGAGCACAGUUAAUGUGUCUGGGCCUAAGGGACCACUCCAGUGCUCCUGGGGUUAAUUGCAGUUUUAGCAACAGAAAUCAAGUCCCAUAUGCUUGAUUUAUAGUAUGUUGAGAGUAUUUUUCUUUCUCCUCCUAUUUUUGCCUUAUUAAUUGUCCAUGAUACUUAGCCCGGAGUGAACAUGUGUUUUGUUGUAAGAGACACCAGAGAAAGGUGUUGUGCAAAUGAGCACAAAUGUGCUGCAAGAGGCUGCAGAGCUCGUCUGCCUGGACACCUGCCACAGCAGGUUAGAUCCCUCAGAAAUCUCAUAAUCCUUCUUUAUCCUGGUAAUCUGAACAGCAGCAUCUUGCCAUUUUGUAGGGCUGAGGGAUUGAAGUACAGGAGUCUGCUUGGUUGCUGGAAUUCAGAGACUAUGGGUUUGUAUUCAGAAGCGCAUGUGAAGCCUGAAGAGCAUCUGCUUUUUACACAAACAUCAUUCAAGGCUGGCAGCUGAGACAUGGUGACCUUGGCUAUGAUCUGGAGAUCUCUGAAUGGAGCAGAACUCUCCGCUUUCCUGUCAGACUCCCCUCCAAUCUGUGCUGUUAAUCAAACACUGCAAUAACACUUCUUUUAAAGCUUGGUUUGGGUGAAUUUGUUUAACCUUGUGCAUGACAGGAAUUGCGCAGAGCAACAGAACGACAUUAACUUGACCCUCAUCUUGUAGGGCUGCUGAAGGAACGUGUCCUUGUCAGUGCACAGAGCUGGCUGUGAGCCCUGGGAGCAACAGAGCAGGGAAAAGUCGGGAAAGGGUGUCUUUGUCAACUGCUCUGCCCGUGCCCUCCCUUGGGAAAUGCUGCCAGAGCUUACGUGUUGAAGGUGAAGUAAAUACUAAUAAAGCUGCCGUUAAUUAAAAUUUCUUAGGGCUUCAGUGGAUUAAUUAAACGGUGUUUAAGGAUGUUAAUUGUGGCAAUGUAUUACUGCCAUCCUACAGGGCUCAGGAGAAACUGAUGUGAGGUGCCACACAAAUGCUUUUUGCCACAGUGCAGGAGGAGGACAGUGCAGCAGGGCCAGUGGCCGUUCCGGAGGGAACAGGAAGCCCAUCCUGAGAGAAAAAGCAGGCUUAGACUGGAGAGAGGCAGCAGGUGCACAGGGCAGGGGAGAAGGAAUGGCUGCUUGAGAGUACGGAAGGGGCAGAGUAACAUGGAAUAAAGGAGGAAAAGGGUUUAAGCACAGGGGAUAGCACUGGUGUGAGAACAAAUUCAGCUGGCCCUGACAAAAUUUAGGUCAGAAAGUGGGUAGUUCCUUGGUGUACCUGUGUAUUGGAGCAGCCUUUGGAGCUGGUCCCUGAGACCAGAUGGAUUCAGCAGAGGAAGCUCAAUCUGCCUGAAAGGCCUGUGUGUUGCAGUGGCAGAGGAAGAGAAGGGAAGACUCUCCGCUAUCCUGAGAGCCUCUGCUGAUUUUAGUUUGCUAAAGCCCAUUCUGUUCUGAUGAUUCGUCAGUUUCUUAGCUAAGUAAAGGUUAAUGGAAAACAAGGUUAAAUUCCAGCAGUUUGGGAGGUGGGUGAGAAGCCACAGAAUGUGCUUUCCAUAUAGAAAUUAAAAUGGGGAAAAAUUCCCUGCCACAAGAUCAAGUUGAUGUCUGCUGAUGUCAAUGAAGAGUUGCUGGUGAAGAUGCUCUCUUUCUGUGUUAUUGGUUUACCAUGCAGGGUCAAGUGACCCUCUAAGAAGCAGAGAAUUUGAGCAAGCUGGAGGAGCUGCUGGAUGCUGAGGCUCGUGUUGCAGAGUGACUGAGCAGCAGCCCUGUCUCACUGACAUGGGCUACAUGGAUCCGUACCCAUCUCGUACAAACAAGUGAAAAAAACUGCAACAAGUCACUUCCUGAAGGCUGAGUUGGGAGAGGUGGUGCUGUGAUCACUGGGUGCUGGCUCUUCACCCCAGAGGGUUUGCCCUGCUGCCAACAAUUGCAUGUUGAUGUUCCUUGUCUUCUGUGAAUGUAUGCUUCUGUGAUUCUCUUAUAGCCUCAACUUUGAGAUGGACCAUCCUCAGGUGUUGGAAGGCUACAAGCCAAGAGUGGGCCACAAAAGAAGAGCCCCAGCUGCAUUGUGCCUAGAUGAGGAGCUGGAGGAAAGCUGCCCCUCAGGAAGCUGCCAAGAUCUUUCGCCUGUCCAGGGAACUGCUGCUGACAUGGAGGAGGAGGUGUUCACACCAGCUUCUGCACAGGACACACAGGUGUCUGCUCACAGAAAGCCUGUACUUGACAUGAAGCUUUGGAAAAUGCUGGAAAGUGACCAGUUUCAGUCCAUUUGGUGGAGUGAGGGUGGAAAAUGUGUGGCCAUCAACAAAG